rnacentral:misc_RNA from 1 species
AAGUCGUAACAAGGUUUCCGUAGGUGAACCUGCGGAAGGAUCAUUAACACGUUAUCCAACGUAUCAACCAACGAGAACUGUUUUCAACCCUCUCUUCCGGAGAAUGAAUUGAGCUUGCUUAGAGUUGUUGAAUGGGAUGCUUAGCGUCAGACUCUACUCGCCACCGACUUUAAUUGAAAUAUAUUAGGGUUGACAAUUGUAUCUUUUAGGAAGACUAACUCUCACUGUUCAGUCUCCAUUCAUUGACUUUUUCAGUGGGAACCAUUUUUUUAAAACAUAUUUCACCCCUUUUUUGCUAGUUGACUUUUUUAUGUUGUAUCUUUGCUUCGGCAACGGUGCACACGUUUAAUUAUUUGAACGUUAAAUUUACAACUCUUAGCAAUGGAUAUCUUGGUUCUC